UGGGGAAUCUUGCGCAAUGGGCGAAAGCCUGACGCAGCAACGCCGCGUGCGGGAUGACGGCCUUCGUGGUUGUAAACCGCUUUCAUCAGGGACGAAAAUGACGGUACCUGAAGAAGAAGCUCCGGCUAACUACGUGCCAGCAGCCGCGGUAAUACGUAGGGAGCGAGCGUUGUCCGGAUUCAUUGGGCGUAAAGAGCUCGUAGGCGGUUCAGUAAGUCAGGUGUGAAAGCUUCGAGCUCAACUCGGAGACGCCAUCUGAUACUGCUGUGACUAGAAUCCAGUAGGGGAGUGUGGAACUCCUGGUGUAGCGGUGAAAUGCGCAGAUAUCAGGAAGAACACCAGCGGCGAAGGCGGCACUCUGGGCUGGUAUUGACGCUGAGGAGCGAAAGUGUGGGUAGCAAACA
rnacentral:rRNA from 1 species